ensembl:lncRNA
CGGGGAGCAGGGAGCAGGGUCAGAGAGCAGGGUCAGAGAGCAGGGUCAGAGAGCAGGGUCAGGGAGCAGGGUCAGCGAGCAGGGAGCAGGGUCAGAGAGCAGAGUCAGAGAGCAGGGUCAGAGAGCAGGGUCAGGGAGCAGGGUCAGAGAGCAGGGAGCAGGGAGCAGGGUCAGAGAGCAGGGUCAGGGAGCAGGGGUCAGGGAGCAGGGAGCAGGGUCAGAGAGCAGGGAGCAGGGUCAGAGAGCAGGGUCAGGGAGCAGGGAGCAGGGUCAGGGAGCAGGGUCAGGGAGCAGGGUCAGGG